CUGAAUGUUGACCUCGGAUCAGGUAGGAAUACCCGCUGAACUUAAGCAUAUCAAA
rnacentral:rRNA from 1 species